UGAGUAAUGCCUAGGUAUCUGCCCAGUCGAGGGGGAUAACAGUUGGAAACGACUGCUAAUACCGCAUACGCCCUACGGGGGAAAGGAGGGGACCUUCGGGCCUUCCGCGAUUGGAUGAACCUAGGUGGGAUUAGCUAGUUGGUGAGGUAAUGGCUCACCAAGGCGACGAUCCCUAGCUGGUCUGAGAGGAUGAUCAGCCACACUGGAACUGAGACACGGUCCAGACUCCUACGGGAGGCAGCAGUGGGGAAUAUUGCACAAUGGGCGAAAGCCUGAUGCAGCCAUGCCGCGUGUGUGAAGAAGGCCUUCGGGUUGUAAAGCACUUUCAGCGAGGAGGAAAGGUUAACGAUUAAUACUCGUUAGCUGUGACGUUACUCGCAGAAGAAGCACCGGCUAACUUCGUGCCAGCAGCCGCGGUAAUACGAGGGGUGCAAGCGUUAAUCGGAAUUACUGGGCGUAAAGCGUACGCAGGCGGUUUGUUAAGCGAGAUGUGAAAGCCCCGGGCUCAACCUGGGAACUGCAUUUCGAACUGGCAAACUAGAGUCUUGUAGAGGGGGGUAGAAUUUCAGGUGUAGCGGUGAAAUGCGUAGAGAUCUGAAGGAAUACCGGUGGCGAANGCGGCCCCCUGNACAAAGACUGACGCUCNNGUACGNNGCGUGGGGAGCAAACAGGAUUAGAUACCC
rnacentral:rRNA from 1 species